rnacentral:rRNA from 1 species
CCUACGGGGGGCAGCAGUCGAGAAUCAUUCACAAUGGGGGAAACCCUGAUGGUGCGACGCCGCGUGGGGGAAUGAAGGUCUUCGGAUUGUAAACCCCUGUCAUGUGGGAGCAAAUUAAAAAGAUAGUACCACAAGAGGAAGAGACGGCUAACUCUGUACCAGCAGCCGCGGUAAUACAGAGGUCUCAAGCGUUGUUCGGAAUCACUGGGCGUAAAGCGUGCGUAGGCUGUUUCGUAAGUCGUGUGUGAAAGGCGCGGGCUCAACCCGCGGACGGCACAUGAUACUGCGAGACUAGAGUAAGGGAGGGGGAACCGGAAUGCUCGGUGUAGCAGUGAAAUGCGUAGAUAUCGAGAGGAACACUCGUGGCGAAGGCGGGUUCCUGGACAUUAACUGACGCUGAGGCACGAAGGCCAGGGGAGCGAAAGGGAUUAGAUACCCGAGUAGUC